GGGGGGGCGGCCUACACAUGCAAGUCGAGCGGUAGAGAGAAGCUUGCUUCUCUUGAGAGCGGCGGACGGGUGAGUAAUGCCUAGGAAUCUGCCUGGUAGUGGGGGAUAACGUUCGGAAACGGACGCUAAUACCGCAUACGUCCUACGGGAGAAAGCAGGGGACCUUCGGGCCUUGCGCUAUCAGAUGAGCCUAGGUCGGAUUAGCUAGUUGGUGAGGUAAUGGCUCACCAAGGCGACGAUCCGUAACUGGUCUGAGAGGAUGAUCAGUCACACUGGAACUGAGACACGGUCCAGACUCCUACGGGAGGCAGCAGUGGGGAAUAUUGGACAAUGGGCGAAAGCCUGAUCCAGCCAUGCCGCGUGUGUGAAGAAGGUCUUCGGAUUGUAAAGCACUUUAAGUUGGGAGGAAGGGUUGUAGAUUAAUACUCUGCAAUUUUGACGUUACCGACAGAAUAAGCACCGGCUAACUCUGUGCCAGCAGCCGCGGUAAUACAGAGGGUGCAAGCGUUAAUCGGAAUUACUGGGCGUAAAGCGCGCGUAGGUGGUUUGUUAAGUUGGAUGUGAAAUCCCCGGGCUCAACCUGGGAACUGCAUUCAAAACUGACUGACUAGAGUAUGGUAGAGGGUGGUGGAAUUUCCUGUGUAGCGGUGAAAUGCGUAGAUAUAGGAAGGAACACCAGUGGCGAAG
rnacentral:rRNA from 1 species